rnacentral:rRNA from 1 species
CAGUCGCCGCGGGAAUACGGAGGAUGCAAGCGUUAUCCGGAAUGAUUGGGCGUAAAGCGUCUGUAGGUGGCUUUUCAAGUCCGCUAUCAAAUCCCAGGGCUCAACCCUGGACAGGCGGUGGAAACUACCAAGCUGGAGUACGUUAGGGGCAGAGGGAAUUUCCGGUGGAGCGGAGAAAUGCGUUGAGAUCGGAAAGAACACCAACGGCGAAAGCACUCUGCUGGGCCGACACUGACACUGAGAGACGAAAGUUAGGGGAGCAAAUGGGAUUAGAGACCCCAGUAGUCCCUGUCUCUUAUAC